GAGUGAACGUUCCUGCCACUCUGCGUCCUUGCCCGAGCUGGGCGUCGUCAGGUUCUGGAUUUGGGCCCUUCUCAUCGAAAGCUGGCGACCAGCAAGGGAAACCAUCGACAAGGCAGAAAGGCAGCCUCCGGAAUGGGGAAGGCUUUAGCGUUGACGAAAUCCCGAUGAUGGGUGCUUUCUUCGGUGGAUAGUGUGCUUUUUGGGCUGCAUCUGAAAAGUCAUCCCCAGACCCAGGUGGACUGGAUUUCUGCUGUGCCUUCCAGGAGUUAUGGUUCUGUAUUUGAUGUGCAGGUCUGAGGUCUGUGCAGGUCUUGAGUCACAGUUUCGCACAGAUGUCCGGCUGCUUCUGCAGUGCCUCUGGAAGAGACCAUGUUUGCCCCCUUGCCUCUGUCAAGGAGCGGACUGUAUUUGGGUGGGUCCGUUUCUGGGCUCUCUGUUCUGUGCCCUGUUCUGUGUCUGUCUGUUCUUUCCCUAGGACACGUCGUACUGAUUGCCGUAGAUUUUCGGGAAGUCUUGAAGGCGGGUAGUGUCGGUCCUGCCCCCGAUUAGCCCAGCAGCGCCUCGACCCAAACUCACAGCUGGACCCAAGUUCUCUUGGCUCUCACUCAGGUUCUUCUUGCUCCAUUCAUUUCUUUAAAUUAUACAUGUUAUACUUCAGUGACACCUGUCCUGUCUUCCGGGCUCUGGGGCCGCAUGGCGUUUCCUGGCCUUCCUCUCAGGGAAGCGUGGCCAUUGACCGGCUCCUUUCUGCUGGAAUGCGAGCACAGCGGCGAGCUCCCCGGCCAAGGCCUUCAGAGUGGCCACAGCGACCUCGGACUGUUCCCCGCCCCACAACAAGCUCCAUGAAGCCAGCGUCCUGUUUCGGCCGCUGCAUCUGGACAGCUUUCUGUUAGAGCCGCUUACUUGACACAAACUCAUUGGGUUCCUGAGGCAGGAUGCUGCCAUAGCCACAGUGGUUCAUGUGUGACUUUGGCUUAGAAAUCUGGCCAUUGGUGGUGACCAAGCAUGUGGCGGUCUGGACAGCGUCUGUGUGAGCGGAAAAACAGAACCAAUACGGGGUGGGUGUGUGUAAAUAAAUUUACCUUAACGGGUUGGCCCCCACGAUGCUGGAGACUUGGUGACUCCAAAAUCUGCUAGAGAAGGCUGGCCGCUGGAGACCCAGGAAGAACAGAAUUCCCUCUUGCUCGGGGGGGAGUCUGACUUUGUUCUAUGCAGGCCUUCACCUGAUUGGACGAGGCCCACCACAUUAUGGAGAGUAAUCUGGUUUCCUUGAAGUUGACUGAUUUGAAAGCUAAUUUUAUCCUGGGGUACCUGGGGGGCUCAGUCGGUUAAGCAUCCGACUUUUGGCUCAGGUCAUGGUCUCAUGGUUUGGGGGUUCAAGCCCCACGUCGGGCUCUGUGCUGACAGCUUGGAGCCUGGAGCCUGCUUCGGAUUCUGUGUCUCCCUCUCUCUCUGCCCCUCCUCUGCUCAUGCUCUCUCUCUCUCUCUCUCUCUCAAAAAUAAUAAAUAUAAAAAAAAUAAAAGUUAAUCUCAUCCAAAACCACCCUGACAGAAACAUCCAGAAAAGUGUUUGACCAGAUAUCUG